rnacentral:rRNA from 1 species
GGGUUGUGAGGUUAAGCGACUAAGCGUACACGGUGGAUGCCCUGGCAGUCAGAGGCGAUGAAGGGCGUGCUAAUCUGCGAUAAGCGCCGGUAAGGUGAUAUGAACCGUUAUAACCGGCGAUACCCGAAUGGGGAAACCCAGUGUGAUUCGUCACACUAUCAUUAACUGAAUCCAUAGGUUAAUGAGGCGAACCGGGGGAACUGAAACAUCUAAGUACCCCGAGGAAAAGAAAUCAACCGAGAUUCCCCCAGUAGCGGCGAGCGAACGGGGAGGAGCCCAGAGCCUGAAUCAGCAUGUGUGUUAGUGGAAGCGUCUGGAAAGGCGCGCGAUACAGGGUGACAGCCCCGUACACAAAAGCGCAUGUGCUGUGAGCUCGAUGAGUAGGGCGGGACACGUGGUAUCCUGUCUGAAUAUGGGGGGACCAUCCUCCAAGGCUAAAUACUCCUGACUGACCGAUAGUGAACCAGUACCGUGAGGGAAAGGCGAAAAGAACCCCGGCGAGGGGAGUGAAAAAGAACCUGAAACCGUGUACGUACAAGCAGUGGGAGCACAGGUUUACCUGUGUGACUGCGUACCUUUUGUAUAAUGGGUCAGCGACUUAUAUUCUGUAGCAAGGUUAACCGUAUAGGGGAGCCGGAGGGAAACCGAGUCUUAAUUGGGCGUUAAGUUGCAGGGUAUAGACCCGAAACCCGGUGAUCUAGCCAUGGGCAGGUUGAAGGUUGGGUAACACUAACUGGAGGACCGAACCGACUAAUGUUGAAAAAUUAGCGGAUGACCUGUGGCUGGGGGUGAAAGGCCAAUCAAACCGGGAGAUAGCUGGUUCUCCCCGAAAGCUAUUUAGGUAGCGCCUCGUGAAUUCAUCUCCGGGGGUAGAGCACUGUUUCGGCUAGGGGGCCAUCCCGGCUUACCAACCCGAUGCAAACUGCGAAUACCGGAGAAUGUUAUCACGGGAGACACACGGCGGGUGCUAACGUCCGUCGUGAAGAGGGAAACAACCCAGACCGCCAGCUAAGGUCCCAAAGUCAUGGUUAAGUGGGAAACGAUGUGGGAAGGCCCAGACAGCCAGGAUGUUGGCUUAGAAGCAGCCAUCAUUUAAAGAAAGCGUAAUAGCUCACUGGUCGAGUCGGCCUGCGCGGAAGAUGUAACGGGGCUAAACCAUGCACCGAAGCUGCGGCAGCGACGCUUAUGCGUUGUUGGGUAGGGGAGCGUUCUGUAAGCCUGUGAAGGUGUGUCGUGAGGCAUGCUGGAGGUAUCAGAAGUGCGAAUGCUGACAUAAGUAACGAUAAAGCGGGUGAAAAGCCCGCUCGCCGGAAGACCAAGGGUUCCUGUCCAACGUUAAUCGGGGCAGGGUGAGUCGACCCCUAAGGCGAGGCCGAAAGGCGUAGUCGAUGGGAAACGGGUUAAUAUUCCCGUACUUGGUGUUACUGCGAAGGGGGGACGGAGAAGGCUAUGUUGGCCGGGCGACGGUUGUCCCGGUUUAAGCGUGUAGGUGUGUGUUCCAGGUAAAUCCGGUUCACUUUAACACU